CGCCUGCCCUGUGACUAAAAGUUCAACGGCCGCGGUAUUUUGACCGUGCAAAGGUAGCGCAAUCACUUGUCUUUUAAAUGAAGACCUGUAUGAAUGGCAUAACGAGGGCUUAACUGUCUCCUUUUUCCAGUCAAUGAAAUUGAUCUUCCCGUGCAGAAGCGGGAAUAUAACCAUAAGACGAGAAGACCCUAUGGAGCUUUAGACACAAGACAGAUCUUGUUAAACACUUCAAAAUAAAGAAACAAACUAAAAGAACCCUGCCCUACUGUCUUCGGUUGGGGCGACCACGGGGAGAUAAACAACCCCCACGCGGACUGGGAAAACAGUUCUCACAACCAAGAGCUACAGCUCUAAUCAACAGAAAAUCUGACCUCAAGAUCCGGCAACGCCGAUCAACGAACCGAGUUACCCUAGGGAUAACAGCGCAAUCCCCUUCUAGAGUCCAUAUCGACAAGGGGGUUUACGACCUCGAUGUUGGAUCAGGACAUCCUAAUGGUGCAGCAGCUAUUAAGGGUUCGUUUGUUCAACGAUUAAAGUCCU
rnacentral:rRNA from 1 species